rnacentral:rRNA from 1 species
GACGAACGCUGGCGGCGUGCUUAACACAUGCAAGUCGAACGGAAAGGCCCUGCUUUUGUGGGGUGCUCGAGUGGCGAACGGGUGAGUAACACGUGAGUAACCUGCCCUUGACUUUGGGAUAACUUCAGGAAACUGGGGCUAAUACCGGAUAGGAGCUCCUGCUGCAUGGUGGGGGUUGGAAAGUUUCGGCGGUUGGGGGUGGACUCGCGGCUUAUCAGCUUGUUGGUGGGGUAGUGGCUUACCAAGGCUUUGACGGGUAGCCGGCCUGAUAGGGUGACCGGCCACAUUGGGACUGAGAUACGGCCCAGACUCCUACGGGAGGCAGCAGUGGGGAAUAUUGCACAAUGGGCGGAAGCCUGAUGCAGCAACGCCGCGUGCGGGAUGACGGCCUUCGGGUUGUAAACCGCUUUCGCCUGUGACGAAGCGUGAGUGACGGUAAUGGGUAAAGAAGCACCGGCUAACUACGUG